UGACACCUAGUGCAGGCUCAUUGCUGAUGUCUCCGGCACUGUAAAUUCCUGAGAUUAAUUAAACUCAGAUUACAAUUUAAGUCCGAGGCCUGCAGAGUUCAGGAGAAUCGCGCUUGGCACAGCUGGGAAUAAGGGUUCUUUUGAAGACCCUGACCUGGAGUUACACACAGGAUUCGGUUCUUUGCGGGAAUGGGACCUGUCCUCGGGGUUCCAUGACUGGCUGAUAUUUGACAUGCCAAAGGUUUGGCCCAAGAGUCUCGAUCGUGUUUGGAGCCUAAGAUCUCCGGGCUCUGGAGACGGGCGAUCAAGGAGCGGUGUCACAGCAGGAGGCCGGAAAAUCUUUCGCUGUGGGCCCGAAGACUCAAGGGAUUUGCGAUCUUCGGGCACAGAGCUCGAAAAAAGCGAUGAAGCAAAUUCUUAACACUGUAAACCAACGGGUUGUUGUUAUAUCUCCCGUUCACUGUGAAAAUGGAGGACACCUGCGUUGUCGAAUGUCGGGUGAAAUGCAAAGCCUUUGGGGUGCCACACCAUUAGGAACAACUGCUUCCCUGCAACUUGAGCCCCAGAUGAAACGGCUAAUAUGAGACGACAUAAUUUUAAGUGAUGGGACCCGCUCCUGGGACUCUUCAAUCGGCCAAUUUUCAAUAUCCCAUGGACGCAGCCAAGCAGAGGAGUGCACCUUCGGAGUUGAGGCUCUGCAACCCUCAGGACAAGCUGAUUCUAUGCUGGUGCCACUGACUGAAGCGUCGAGACAGACAAUGGAGCAUCAGGAAGAGCAAAUCAGAAGUGGGGGACUCUGCACUCAGCAAAUUGCGCACUCUCUCUCUUUUUCUCGUUGGCUGGGGAGAGCUUGUUGCCAAUUCUUGAGUCAGGGAAUUCAAGGCAAAAAAGGUGAUAUAGAGUCUUAAACACUGUAAAUCAGCAAGUUGUUUGUCUUUGGUUUCCCCUUGCUGUGAAAGGGGACACCUCUCUGUCCCUUUAUUAGGGAGAGAGAGUCUGAGGCAUGUCGAAUUGUCAGGUGAAUGAUCAGUUUUGUUGCUCUGCAGAUCAUGCUCUUUACAGGGGGUUUUGCUGUUGCUUGUUAGGUGGGUGGAGGGUGCUAAUGCUUUUUUGCGGAAAUGAGUGGGGAUGUUGCU